GGGUUGCUAACUCAACGGUAGAGUACUCGGCUUUUAACCGACUAGGUCCGGGUUCGAAUCCCGGGCAACCCA
rnacentral:tRNA from 4 species